rnacentral:tRNA from 2 species
UGUGGGUUCAAGUCCCGCCCCUCCUG